ACUGUCUACUGUCAGCUUUUCCCAUUCUCUGAACAGGCAUUCUGUCUUUCAGCUGAAUGACUUUAGCUCUCUAGCUAGAGGUUUGGAGCCUGACAGUUUACUAUCUAGCACAGGACAGAUGCAUGUGUCCGAUCUUUGUGCAUCUCUUAACUUAUCUUUUGGUAUAGGACUGACUGAUGGAGUGGUUAUCUCACCUUCAGUGGAGACUGUCAUACAUUUGGCUGGAAAUGCCAGGGUCGCUUCUUGAACCUCAACGGCCUGAAUGGUGGUAGCUAUGGCGUCAGGUGGCAACUCCUCAGAACAUUCUCUCAUCAGUGACUCUGCAUCCAGUGGCAUCCUUGACAAAGCAUCUGCGUCACUGAUCUCUUUACCUGGUCUGUACUUUAUUGUGAAGUGAAAAUCAGCCAGAUCUGCAACAAACCUGGAAGUGUUUGCAUUCAGUUUUGCAGUGGACAGAACAUACGUGAAUGGGUUGUUAUCACUAUACACAAUCCUGGAACUUUGUCAGUGACUGCCCAUUUUAAAGCUAGAAAUUCUCACUUGCCUGCAUGGUAGUGGUAGUUCUUCUCCGCUUGCUCUCAAUGAGUGGGAGCCAUAGGCAAUGACUCUCAGUUUGCCAUCUUGUUUUGGAUACAAUACUGCUCGCAAGCCUUGAUGUGAUGCGUCAGUGUGUACUAUGAACGGCUGAGUGAAAUCAGGGAACCCUAACACUGGUGGAUGGAGCAAACAGUCAAUCAGCUGUUCAAGUGCCUGCUGGUGCUGGUCGGUCCAAGUGAUUGGCUUGUCUGAGGGCACAACAUGAGUCAUUUUCUUUGCUUUUGGUUUUCUUGUGUUUUCAGGGACCUCAGUUGAAUCUGCUUUCAAGAGAUUGUGCUGGCAGCUUGCCUUUCUGGAAAAGUCUUUAAUCUACUGCCUGUAGUAGCAAACCAGUGACUACAUUUCCCAAACUGCACGGCAGCCUACAAACAUGGCCACCAUGGACUGCAAUUCCCAGAACACUCUCUCUCACACACAGAACACUCACACUCAUUCUAAUCACACACAACUUAAUUCAAUCUCACACACUGUUGUGUCAAAUUUGAUCCAUUACCUGAAUGUAAUUAUAAUUAAAAUACAGCAUAGAAACAGAUACUCACAUCUACCAGACUGUUGCAUGAAGAAAGCAAAACACCGAACCAGUGAGUGAGAAGAAGCAAGGAUCCAAGUUUAUUGUUCCAAUUCACAUGAGAUCCACACAGUUGAGACGUCCCAAGGGUGAUCUGAAAACCCAGAGCUGAGGCUCUCCUAUUUAUACAGCUUCCCCAGGGUCGGAUUUUCCCACCCUCAGCAAU
ensembl:lncRNA